rnacentral:rRNA from 1 species
UACGAAGGGGGCUAGCGUUGCCUCGGAAUCACUGGGCGUAAAGCGCACGUAGGCGGAUUGUUAAGUCAGGGGUGAAAUCCUGGAGCUCAACUCCAGAACUGCCUUUGAUACUGGCGAUCUCGAGUCCGGGAGAGGUGAGUGGAACUGCGAGUGUAGAGGUGAAAUUCGUAGAUAUUCGCAAGAACACCAGUGGCGAAGGCGGCUCACUGGCCCGGUACUGACGCUGAGGUGCGAAAGCGUGGGGAGCAAACAGG